rnacentral:ncRNA from 1 species
GACCUAGAAGAUGGCGAACUAUGUUUGAACAGAACGAAGCCGAAGCCGGAGGAAACUCUGGCGGAGGUUCGUAGCGGUGUUGACGUGAUAAUCACUCGUCAAAUUUGUGUUUAGGGGUGAAAGACUAAUCGAAUCAUCUAGUAGAUGG